rnacentral:rRNA from 1 species
AAUGAACGCUGGCGGCAUGCCUAAUACAUGCAAGUCGAGCGAACCGACGAGGAGCUUUCUCCUCUGACGUUAUCGGCGGACGGGUGAGUAACACGUGGAUAGCCUACCUCUCAGACUGGGAUAACUUCGGGAAACCGUAGCUAAUACCGAAUAAUAUAUUGAACCGCAUGGUUCCAUCGUUAAAGACGGUUUUGCUGUCACUUAUAGAUGGAUCCGCGCCGCAUUAGCUAGUUGGUAAGGUAACGGCUUACCAAGGCAACGAUGCGUAGCCGACCUGAGAGGGUGAUCGGCCACACUGGAACUGAGACACGGUCCAGACUCCUACGGGAGGCAGCAGUAGGGAAUCUUCCGCAAUGGGCGAAAGCCUGACGGAGCAACGCCGCGUGAGUGAUGAAGGUCUUCGGAUCGUAAAACUCUGUUAUUAGGGAAGAACAAAUGUGUAAGUAACUAUGCACGUCUUGACGGUACCUAAUCAGAAAGCCACGGCUAACUACGUG